rnacentral:rRNA from 1 species
GAUGAACGCUAGCGGCAGGCCUAAUACAUGCAAGUCGAACGAUAGUGAGAAGCUUGCUUCUCACGAAAGUGGCGCACGGGUGCGUAACGCGUAUGCAACCUACCUUAAUCAGGGGGAUAGCCCGAAGAAAUUCGGAUUAACACCGCAUAAAAUCACAGUAUAGCAUUAUACAAUGAUCAAAUAUUUAUAGGAUUAAGAUGGGCAUGCGUGACAUUAGUUAGUUGGCGGGGUAACGGCCCACCAAGACCACGAUGUCUAGGGGAUCUGAGAGGAUGACCCCCCCCACUGGUACUGAGACACGGACCAGACUCCUACGGGAGGCAGCAGUAAGGAAUAUUGGUCAAUGGAGGCAACUCUGAACCAGCCAUGCCGCGUGCAGGAAGACAGCCCUCUGGGUCGUAAACUGCUUUUAUUCGGGAAUAAACCUAUCUACGUGUAGAUAGCUGAAUGUACCGAAGGAAUAAGGAUCGGCUAACUCCUUGCCAGCCGCCGCAGUAA